rnacentral:rRNA from 1 species
CCUACGGGAGGCAGCAGUGGGGAAUAUUGGACAAUGGGCGAAAGCCUGAUCCAGCCAUGCCGCGUGUGUGAAGAAGGCCUUCGGGUUGUAAAGCACUUUCAGUGGGGAAGAAAGCCUUGGGGCUAAUACCCUCGAGGAAGGACAUCACCCACAGAAGAAGCACCGGCUAACUCCGGUGCCAGCAGCCGCGGUAAUACGGAGGGUGCGAGCGUUAAUCGGAAUUACUGGGCGUAAAGCGCGCGUAGGCGGUCUGAUAAGCCGGUUGUGAAAGCCCCGGGCUCAACCUGGGAACGGCAUCCGGAACUGUCAGGCUAGGGUGCAGGUGAGGAAGGGAGAAUUCCCGGGGGAGCGGUGAAAUGCGUAGAGAUCGGGAAGAAUACCAGUGGGGAAGGCGGUCUUCUGGACUGACACUGACGCUGAGGUGCGAAAGCGUGGGUAGCAAACAAGAAUAGAUACCCGAGUAGUC